rnacentral:lncRNA from 1 species
GAUGACCCAAAGAUUGAUUUAAAGAUUGAUUUUGAUGAUCACAAAACCUUGAAGUAUAAAUACUAAUGUUUGUGUUGCAAGAAGAAAGAUUAUUUAUUUUGCAAGGAACAUAGCAAGUUGGAAGAAUUCAAGAAGGCCUCCAAAGCUCUCAAGAAAAGUUAGAAGAAAGCCACACCUCAUUGGCCCAAGAUUCAAGUUCAAAGGCUUCAAUUUAGAAGAGCAAGUUUUAAGAAAAAUUCAAAGGAAAGGCACUCGAGUCGACUCCUACAGUUCCGAGUCGACUCCAAGGAGCAACAGACAGAUGGACAGAAAGAUUCAUCUCAGAACCUGUCAACGAGUCGACUCCUGAAGAGCGCGAGUCGACUCCGAUGCUUGCCGAGUCGACUCCAGGGUAGUA